GCUGGUAGUGCUGGUCGUCAUCGCCGCUGUUCUCAUCAUAUACAGGAAGAGAGCCAAUGUGACAGAGGAUGUUCCGAAACCAACUCAACACCCUGGCGAGCCAGAGAGCAAUCUGACCUAUGUCACUGUAAACCAUGCUAAUCAGCAGGCCUCUUCUUACAAAAAGGUCAAAAGGAGGAGGUGACGUAUUCUACAGUCAGAAGUCAGAAGACAGAAGCAGACGAAUCUCCCAGCAGUCUCUACAGCAAUGUCAGAAACCCCAAAUAAAUCAGAGGAAAUGGGACUUCUCACAAUGACCUGUUCAUAGAUCCUGCCGUCAGAGUGUUUUCUGUCUGUUGAGGAGUGGACAGUUGGAUUUGUGCUUUGU